UGAUGAUGAUGAUGAUGAUGAUGAUGAUGAUUAUGUCCACCUAUCUGCGAAUGGGUGCAAUAUGCUCUCCCUCAACUUAGAUAUAUCUUUCCUGAUCAUCAUCAUCAUCAUCAUCAU
rnacentral:miRNA from 1 species